rnacentral:rRNA from 1 species
GCAAAACGCGAAGAACCUUACCAGGCCUUGACAUGCAGAGAACUUUUCCAGAGAUGGAUUGGUGCCUUCGGGAACGUCUGACACAGGUGCUGCAUGGCUGUCGUCAGCUCGUGUCGUGAGAUGUUGGGUUAAGUCCCAUAACGAGCGCGAACCCUUGUCCUUAGUUACCAGCACGUUAUGGUGGGCACUCUAAGGAGACUGCCGGUGACAAACCGGAGGAAGGUGGGGAUGGACGUCAAGUCAUCAUGGCCCUUAGGCCUGGGCUACGACACGUGCUACAAUGGUCGGUACAGAGGGUUGCCAAGCCGCGAGGUGGAGCUAAUCUCACAAAACCGAUCGUAGUCCGGAUCGCAGUCUGCAACUCGACUGCGUGAAGUCGGAAUCGGCUAGUAAUCGCGAAGUCAGGAAUGUCGCGGUGAAUACGUU